rnacentral:lncRNA from 1 species
CAUUCUCCCUCAAAAGUGUACAUUAUAUUUGCCUCUUCAUCCUUUCGGUUUUCUCGCUAAGCAGGUCAAGGCGCUGUUGCUGCUUUAAGCCUAGAAUUGACUGCUUCCCAUGACACCAGCUUCUCCAUAAAGAUAGAUAUGUAGUCAGGUCGCCGAUUCUACAAGCAAAAGAUAGUUAAGAGACUUUGAAUAUAUGUCUCGACGAAACAUUUUAUACAUCAAAGAAAGUAUUUAAGUAGUUUCAUCAGGUUAGGCUUACCUGAAAGUCCAGAUAGUAGGCAUGCUGCAGUAUCAAACACAAAAAGUAAAAGAAUAAGACUUGGCUUCCUAAAUCAUUUUUGUUCCGAAAGAAGAGAGGAAAAAAAGACAACAAAUUUUAGACAGAUUUAUGACAAGUGAGUGUGUUCUGCUUACCUCCCAAACGUCGAUGGUGAGGAGUGGCUGCAACGAAAACCACAGUUGUGAGAUUUCUAUUACGAUAUAAACUGCUAUGCUAUGUAAGAUGAAAUCCCAUGAAUAAAAGAAAUAGAGAAGCAUGCGUUUUUACUCACUGUGUAACCCAAAACAAGAGGAUUUUCAGCAUUAGGAGUUUUCACCAAAGCAAGCUUUUUGUCUUCAGGUUUGUCUACGAAGUAACGAAUGAAUAACUUUUCAGUCAUUUUGCUCAAUUAUAACAAAAUGGUUGAACAGAACAAUGCAAAGAAUUUCUCACAUGCAAGCCAGGCCCAACCGGAGCCAAAUUGUGUUGCUGCAGCUGCCUUAAAUUCUUUAACAAAUGUAUCAUAGGAACCAAAGUCUCUGUUUAUUAGUUCUAAUAAUUCACCAGAUGGCUCUCCUCCUCCGUUGGGCUUCAUAGAUUCCCAGAAGAA